AAACUGUAACACCCCUUACCCGUAUCCAACACCGGAAUAGGGUACGAGGCAUUACCAAAACACAUACACUUGUAAACGUAUUUAACCGAGUUAUAAAAUUUCAUCAAAAUUAAAACUUUCAAAAAUAAUUAACAUGUUUCUAUAACUUUUCACAAUAUAUCCUCAAAAUAUUAUAAUCAUAAUAAUUAGGGCCUGCGAGACCCGAUACAUACUCAUGCAAUUUAAUGCUUCAUUUCCAUUUCAUUCAAUUCGCAAUUUCUCAUGCUCAUAAUUUAAAUCAUAUCACUAGAAAUUUCCAUUUAAUUCACGUACAAUUCAAUGACAUCAAAUUCAAAACUAAUACGUAUUUACCAUUUAACUCAAUGUUUAUUGAUUAUACCAUUCAAUAACACAUUUAUGAAAUUCUCAAUUUAGCAAUGAAAAUAUCACUUUAGUUUGAAUAACAACAUCGUCCUGAUAUAAAUACACUACCACUAAUCCAUUUACUUUAAUUCUUUUGGGCCCAUUUGUCACUUACCAUCCUUAAUCAAAUUAGGGAACGGUCACGGAAAAUUGAGUACUUCACUUUCACUUUGCCAUAGUAUAACUAUGGUCUUACGUAUGAUCACUUAUCACUUGUCCCUUGAUCAGAUAAGUGUAGCCACUUAUCACUUUGUUUCUUGAUCAGAUAAGUGUAGCCACUUAUCACUUUGUCUCUUGAUCAGAUAAGUGUAGCUAAAGCUAUCACUUAUCACUUUUCACUUGUCACUUGAUCAGAUAAGUGUAGCCGAAGCUAUCACUUAUCACUUUCCACUUGUCACUUGAUCAGAUAAGUGUAGCUGAAGCUAUCACUUAUCACUUUGUCACUUGAUCAGAUAAGUAUAGCCGAAGCUAUAACUUAUCACUUUAUCACUUGAUCAGAUAAGUAUAGCCGAAGCUAUUACUUAUCACUUUCCACUUGUCACUUGAUCAGAUAAGUGUAGCUAAAGCUACCACUUAUCACUUUAUCACUUGAUCAGAAGUACUCAAAUCCGGCGUUCCGCUCAAUUUGAUCAUUUAUUCAUAUAUCAGGCUUACCAACAUGUGUUAAUUCAUAAACCAUUCAUGGUAUUAUUUCAUGCCAAAUCAUAUACUGAAUAUACCAUACACACAUACUAUGAAACUUUAUUUUCACACAUGAGGUUAAACCAUGACCAAUAAUGCACAAAAAUAAGCAUCAUUCAU
rnacentral:lncRNA from 1 species